UACGUAGGGUCCGAGCGUUGUCCGGAAUUAUUGGGCGUAAAGGGCUCGUAGGCGGUCUGUCGCGUCGGGAGUGAAAUCUUACAGCUUAACUCCGAAACUGCAUUCGAUACUGCCGUGCUUGAGGACUGGAGAGGAGACUGGAAUUUACGGUGUAGCGGUGAAAUGCGUAGAUAUCGUAAGGAAGACCAGUGGCGAAGGCGGGUCUCUGGACAGUUCCUGACGCUGAGGCACGAAGGUCAGGGGAGCAAACGGG
rnacentral:rRNA from 1 species